rnacentral:misc_RNA from 1 species
UCCGUUUAUUUUUUUUUUUUUUCUCCCUUUUUGCUUUCUUGUGAGGGAAGGUGGUGACUCAAGGAUGAACCCUAGAAAGAGAGAGAGAAAGAGACAGAGAGGCAGUUUCUUGUUUUUCAGGUGAGCAGGGAUAGUGUAUCCCCUUGAAAUGGAAAAGUAUGGAAGCUUUGUUCUUAUCCACUUUGCCCCUACAAGAGUGGAUAUUUCUUGUGAAAAUGAAACACAAGAAUAACCAAAAAGGGAUCAGUAGGCAAGAAUUUGCAUGGCUUCCCAGUCUUCUUCACGAUAAAUGCUAUUGAGAGAGAGAGAGAGAGAG